GCCGGUGUGCCAGAAAGGUAAAUGGGGCGGUCUCGAAAACCGUUGCCCGAAAGGGCGCCUAGGUUCAAAUCCUAGCACCGGCG
rnacentral:tRNA from 1 species